rnacentral:tRNA from 1 species
GCCUGGGUGGCUCAGUUGGUUAAGCAUCUGACUUCGGCUCAGGUCAUGAUCUCACAGCUUGUGAGUUCGAGCCCCGCGUCAGGCU